rnacentral:rRNA from 1 species
AUUGAACGCUGGCGGCAUGCUUUACACAUGCAAGUCGAACGGCAGCGCGGGCUUCGGCCUGGCGGCGAGUGGCGAACGGGUGAGUAAUGCAUCGGAACGUGCCCAGUAGUGGGGGAUAGCCCGGCGAAAGCCGGAUUAAUACCGCAUACGACCUGAGGGUGAAAGCGGGGGACCGAAAGGCCUCGCGCUAUUGGAGCGGCCGAUGUCGGAUUAGCUAGUUGGUGGGGUAAAGGCUUACCAAGGCGACGAUCCGUAGCUGGUCUGAGAGGACGAGCAGCCACACUGGAACUGAGACACGGCCCAGACUCCUACGGGAGGCAGCAGUGGGGAAUUUUGGACAAUGGGGGCAACCCUGAUCCAGCCAUGCCGCGUGCGGGAAGAAGGCCUUCGGGUUGUAAAGCGCUUUUGUUCGGGAAGAAAACCUCUGGGCUAAUACCCCGGGGGGAUGACGGUACCGGAAGAAUAAGCACCGGCUAACUACGUG